rnacentral:lncRNA from 1 species
CCCGCUGUCUAGAAGCGGAUGCGAGGCCCCCUGAGCCCGCAGUUGACGGCGGUGCCCUCGUUCCCGCCCUGCUCGCCGCCUCUCCCGGCGCCGCUCUUCCCACGGCCGGUGGCCGAGGCCGCGCCGAUGAACCCGGCUCAGGAGGCAAGUCUCUAACUGAAGACAAGGGUUUGAUAGACUACGGACAUUGGUUUGUACAUUCAGAUCAGUUCCAGCUGACCCCUAAGAUAUGUCAGUAAUUGGUUUAAUCUAGAGAGACAUUCUGUAUUGCUUCUUGCUUUAACUGACUUGCAUCUUCUAGGUCCCAUGUUGUCCAGCUAGAGCUGAGAGGGAGUGGACAUGGCUCCAGGCACAGCACGAGAGCCUCAGAGUGGGCCUGGCCCUGGUGAUUCACAUCUGGGGGAGGGUGUGAUGUCACAGCUGGGUUCACAUCAUACCAGGAACAUGUCCUGUGCCCAGCACUGUUUGGGUGUGUUGCACCCCAACCUUGAGUCUUUUGCCUGGCUGCUGACAUGGAGCUGAGGACCAAUAGACACCUUCUGGGCAGAAUAUUUCUGUAGAAGUGCCCCAGAUACAUCCUUCAACGGCAGACUUGUCCACCCAGACGACCUGUCCCUGGGAGAGGUGUAGGCUGGAAGAGCUGCACAGUCCCUGCUUCCACAUUGUCGUCACAUUGCGGGAAGCUGGGGAGGAUUUCCCUGGUAGCUCUGGCUUCCCCCUCCCAGCAGCCCUGGGAUCUAUUUGCUUUCCUUUAACAAAGACUUCGCCUGCUUGCUGCCUGUGUGUUCCUGGAGUUCAUUUCUUUGACUGCCCUGAUCAGGAACCCGGAUUCCCAUAUCAUCUUUCUGGUGGUAUCUUUUGGGGACUAGUCUGGGAUCCAAUCCAAUACAUCUGCACUCAUAAGAACGUCUGAGUCCCUGCCAGAUCUCCAGCAACAGAUUCAUGGGAUGUCUGAUCCAGCUCGCCCUCUGGAACUAGUUGACCUCUUCCUCCUGGUGGAAAUAUUUCAUCACCAUAGCCAUCAUCAUGAUCUUUAAUCCUUUUAUUUGGACCCUAUAUAAUUAAUUGUAUUUCUCACUUCAUUACAUCCCAGUUAAAAACUAUGGACCUGGAGUUCCCGUCGUGGCUCAGGGGUUAACGAAUCCGACUAGGAACCAUGAGGUUGCAGGUUCAACCCCUGGCCUUGCCCAGUGGGUUAAGGAUCUGCCAUUGCUGUGAGCUGUGGUGUAGGCCACAGACAUGGCUCAGAUCCCACGUUGCUGUGGCUCUGGUAUAGGCUGGUGGCUAUAGCUCUGAUUUGACGCCCUAGCCUGGGAACCUCCAUAUGCCGUGGGAGCAGCCCUAGAAAAGGAAAAAAGACACCCCCCCCAAAAAAAAAAAAAAAAAACUUAAUUGAGCUAUAUAGUCAGUUUGCCUUGAACUAACAUACCUAAAAUGUAUGGCUUGGUAAAUUUUAAUCUGCCUAAGCCCAUGGAAUGAUCAUCAUAACAUUCAUCACUCCUCUAUCUUUUGACAUUUCUCCCUAGGCCCCCAGGCUCUGCCACUUUUUCACCUUCAGUUAGUGUUUUCUAGACUUCUUUUUCCUGAAAAUAAUACUCUGUGAACAUGUACAGAAAAUUCUUUAUAUGAACAUAUGACUUUAAAAUGAAAGCUCUUUUUACAUCCCCAUGGACAGUAUGGGAGUGUUUGUUCACUUUCCCUGUCUAUAUUCUUUCAUUAAAAAAAAAAAUUUUUU